rnacentral:lncRNA from 1 species
AGUCGGGCUGGGAGUAAAGCCGCACGCACUCCUUCGCUCGUGGGGGAGGUAGGGUGAGGUGGCAAACCAGGCAGUUUUUCGGAUUUCCUCUACAAACAAGAAGGGAGAAGCUCACUUAGUCCUAGCGAGAGCGGGCUGGUACUUUUGUUCUAAAACGCACGUUUCCUCGGGGAACAGAAUUGCUAGACGCAAUAGUUAUAAUUAUUCAAUAUGUUCCCACUGACUGAGGAAAACAAGCAUGUGGCCCAGUUGUUGCUCAAUACUGGUACUUGUCCAAGAUGUAUCUUCAGAUUCUGUGGUGUGGAUUUUCAUGCACCUUACAAACUUCCAUACAAGGAGUUGCUCAAUGAACUACAGAAAUUUCUGGAAACUGAAAAAGAUGAAUUAAUUUUGGAAGUUAUGAACCCACCUCCCAAGAAAAUUCGACUGCAAGAACUGGAAGAUAGUAUUGAUAAUCUAAGUCAAAAUGGAGAGGGAAGGAUCUCUGUUAGUCAUGUUGGAAGCACUGCUUCCAAGAACUCAAAUUUAAAUGUAUGUAAUGUAUGCCUAGGAAUUCUUCAAGAAUUCUGUG